GAUAAACGCUGGCGGUGUACAUAAGACAUGCAAGUCGAACGGGAGAAGACAGGAAGAUUUAUCUACUUGUUGGACACCGUGGCGGACGGGUGAGUAACACGUAAGCAACCUGCCUAUAAGAGGGGAAUAACAGUGAGAAAUUACUGAUAAUACCGCAUAAGCUGGAGGUAUCGCAUGAUACAUUCAGAAAAGAUUUAUCGCUUAUAGAUGGGCUUGCGUCUGAUUAGCUAGUUGGUGAGAUAACAGCUCACCAAGGCGACGAUCAGUAGCCGGAUUGAGAGGUUGAACGGCCACAUUGGGACUGAGACACGGCCCAGACUCCUACGGGAGGCAGCAGUCGGGAAUAUUGCACAAUGGAGGAAACUCUGAUGCAGUGACACCGCGUAUAGGAAGAAGGUCUUAGGAUUGUAAGCUAUUGUCGNGNGAGAAGAAAA
rnacentral:rRNA from 1 species